GACGAACGCUGGCGGCGUGCCUAAUACAUGCAAGUAGAACGCUGAAGGAGGAGCUUGCUUCUCCGGAUGAGUUGCGAACGGGUGAGUAACGCGUAGGUAACCUGCCUGGUAGCGGGGGAUAACUAUUGGAAACGAUAGCUAAUACCGCAUAACAGUAGAUGUUGCAUGACAUUUGCUUAAAAGGUGCAAUUGCAUCACUACCAGAUGGACCUGCGUUGUAUUAUCUAGUUGGUGAGGUAACGGCUCACCAAGGCGACGAUACAUAGCCGACCUGAGAGGGUGAUCGGCCACACUGGGACUGAGACACGGCCCAGACUCCUACGGGAGGCAGCAGUAGGGAAUCUUCGGCAAUGGACGGAAGUCUGACCGAGCAACGCCGCGUGAGUGAAGAAGGUUUUCGGAUCGUAAAGCUCUGUUGUAAGAGAAGAACGAGUGUGAGAGUGGAAAGUUCACACUGUGACGGUAUCUUACCAGAAAGGGACGGCUAACUACGUG
rnacentral:rRNA from 1 species